rnacentral:rRNA from 1 species
UUCCGGUUGAUCCUGCCGGACCCGACUGCUAUCGGGGUGAGGCUAAGCCAUGGGAGUCGCGCGCCCCGCCGCCGCGGGGCGCGGCGCACGGCUGAGUAACACGUGGCUAACCUACCCUCGGGACGGGGAUAACCCCGGGAAACUGGGGCUAAUCCCCGAUAGGUGAGGGGGCCUGGAAGGGUCCCUCGCCGAAAGGGACCUCAGGGGGUUAUCGCCUGGGGUCCGCCCGAGGAUGGGGCCACGGCCCAUCAUGGUAGUUGGCGGGGUAACGGCCCGCCAAGCCGACGACGGGUAGGGGCCGUGGGAGCGGGAGCCCCCAGAUGGGCCCUGAGACAAGGGCCCAGGCCCUACGGGGCGCACCAGGCGCGAAACCUCCGCAAUGCGGGAAACCGUGACGGGGUCACCCCGAGUGCCCCCGAAAGGGGGCUUUUCCCCGCUGCAAGGAGGCGGGGGAAUAAGCGGGGGGCAAGUCUGGUGUCAGCCGCCGCGGUAAUACCAGCCCCGCGAGUGGUCGGGACGUUUACUGGGCCUAAAGCGCCCGUAGCCGGCCCGGCAAGUCCCUCCUGAAAGCCCCGGGCUCAACCCGGGGAGCGGGGGGGAUACUGCCGGGCUAGGGGGCGGGAGAGGCCGGGGGUACCCCAGGGGUAGGGGCGAAAUCCGAUAAUCCCUGGGGGACCACCAGUGGCGAAAGCGCCCGGCUGGAACGCGCCCGACGGUGAGGGGCGAAAGCCGGGGGAGCGAACCGGAUUAGAUACCCGGGUAGUCCCGGCUGUAAACGAUGCGGGCUAGGUGUCGGGCGGGCGUUAGUGCCCGCCCGGUGCCGCAGGGAAGCCGUUAAGCCCGCCGCCUGGGGAGUACGGCCGCAAGGCUGAAACUUAAAGGAAUUGGCGGGGGGGCACACAAGGGGUGGAGCCUGCGGCUCAAUUGGAGUCAACGCCGGG